GAAAACGACUGCUAAGACUGGAUAGGAAGUUUUAAGGCAUCUUGAAACUUUUAAAAGACCCGCAAGGGUAUGCUGAGAGAUGGGCUUGCGGCACAUUAGUUAGUUGGUAAGGUAACGGCUUACCAAGACCAUGAUGUGUAGCUGGACCGAGAGGUUGAACGGCCACAUUGGGACUGAGAUACGGCCCAAACUCCUACGGGAGGCAGCAGUAAGGAAUUUUCGGCAAUGGAGGAAACUCUGACCGAGCAACGCCGCGUGAACGAUGAAGUAUUUAGGUAUGUAAAGUUCUUUUAUUAAAGAAGAAAAAAUGAUGGAAAAAUCAUUCUGACGGUAUUUAAUGAAUAAGCCCCGGCUAACUAUGUGCCAGCAGCUGCGGUAAUACAUGGGGGGCAAGCGUUAUCCGGAUUUAUUGGGCGUAAAGGGUGCGUAGGCGGUUUAAUAAGUCUAUGGUCUAAGUUCAACGCUUAACGUUGUGAUGCUAUAGAAACUGUUUGACUAGAGUUGGAUAGAGGCAAGUGGAAUUCCAUGUGUAGCGGUAAAAUGCGUAAAGAUAUGGAGGAACACCAGUAGCGAAGGCGGCUUGCUGGGUCUUAACUGACGCUGAGGCACGAAAGCGUGGGGAGCAAACAGGAUUAGAUACCCUGGUAGUCCACGCCGUAAACGAUGAGUACUAAGUGUUGGGUUAAACCAGUGCUGAAGUUAACGCAUUAAGUACUCCGCCUGAGUAGUACGUACGCAAGUAUGAAACUUAAAGGAAUUGACGGGACUCCGCACAAGCGGUGGAUCAUGUUGUUUAAUUCGAAGAUACACGAAAAACCUUACCAGGUCUUGACAUACUCUGCAAAGCUAUAGAAAUAUAGUGGAGGUUAUCAGGGAUACAGGUGGUGCAUGGUUGUCGUCAGCUCGUGUCGUGAGAUGUUGGGUUAAGUCCCGCAACGAGCGCAACCCUUAUCGCUAGUUACCAUCAUUUAGUUGGGCACUUUAGUGAGACUGCCAAUGAUAAAUUGGAGGAAGGUGGGGAUUACGUCAAAUCAUCAUGCCCCUUAUGACCUGGGCUACAAACGUGAUACAAUGGCUGUUACAAAGAGUAGCUGAAGCGUGAGUUUUUAGCAAAUCUCAAAAAAACAGUCUCAGUUCGGAUUGAAGUCUGCAACUCGACUUCAUGAAGUCGGAAUCGCUAGUAAUCGCGAAUCAGCAUGUCGUGGUGAAUACGUUCGCGGGGUUUGUACACACCGCCCGUCA
rnacentral:rRNA from 1 species